UAAGGAAUAUUGGUCAAUGGACGCAAGUCUGGACCAGCCAUGCCGCGUGAAGGAUUAAGGUCCUCUGGAUUGUAAACUUCUUUUAUCUGGGACGAAAAAAGGCGAUUCUUCGUCACUUGACGGUACCAGAUGAAUAAGCACCGGCUAACUCCGUGCCAGCAGCCGCGGUAAUACGGAGGGUGCAAGCGUUAUCCGGAUUCACUGGGUUUAAAGGGUGCGUAGGCGGGCAGGUAAGUCAGUGGUGAAAAUCCUGGAGCUUAACUCCAGAACUGCCACUGAUACUAUCUGUCUUGAAUAUUGUGGAGGUAAGCGGAAUAUGUCAUGUAGCGGUGAAAUGCUUAGAUAUGACAUAGAACACCUAUUGCGAAGGCAGCUUACUACGCAUAUAUUGACGCUGAGGCACGAAAGCGUGGGGAUCAAACAGGAUUAGAUACCCUGGUAGUCCACGCCCUAAACGAUGGAUACUCGACAUACGCGAUACACUGUGUGUGUCUGGGGCGAAAGCAUUAAGUAUCCCCACCUGGGAAGUACGACCGCAAGGUUGAAACUU
rnacentral:rRNA from 1 species